UGGGGAUCUGGCUUGUGAGAGCAACUGGGAGCAGAGAGAACCACUGGGGGAGGCAGGGAAAGGGAAAUGGGGAGAGGGAUUCCUGAACACCAGGCUUUUCUGAACUUACCGCUGGCCAAAGAGUACAGAAGGCAUCACCAUGGCACCACAGCAGAGCAGAAACCCAGCGCAAUUCACCCACCUCUCCCCGCCUGCUGGGAGCCCAAGCUUCUGCGUCUCAGAGCUUACUGCGCCCCCUGCUCUCCCACCCCAUCUUCCUGCUCAUGGAGGCGGCAGCGCAGUGUUGUGCUGAGGAUGCGGAGAAGGGGUCCGAGCCCCAGCUGGAUCCCUACAUAUCCCUUCUCCGACCAUGAGCAUGUCCCUUUCCCUUUCUCAGCCUCAGUCCCUCCAUACAAUAGAAAGC
rnacentral:lncRNA from 1 species